rnacentral:rRNA from 1 species
UGGGGAAUAUUGGACAAUGGGCGAAAGCCUGAUCCAGCCAUGCCGCGUGGAUGAUGAAGGCCUUAGGGUUGUAAAAUCCUUUCGUUGGGGACGAUAAUGACGGUACCCAAAGAAGAAGCUCCGGCUAACUUCGUGCCAGCAGCCGCGGUAAUACGAAGGGGGCUAGCGUUGUUCGGAUUUACUGGGCGUAAAGCGCGUGUAGGCGGACUUGUAAGUUGGGGGUGAAAUCCCGAGGCUCAACCUCGGAACUGCCUCCAAAACUACAAAUCUGGACCUAAGUAGAGGCAAGUGGAAUUGCGAGUGUAGAGGUGAAAUUCGUAGAUAUUCGCAGGAACACCAGUGGCGAAGGCGACUUGCUGGACUUAUGGUGACGCUGAGACGCGAAAGCGUGGGGAGCAAACAGGAUUAGAUACCCAUGUAGUCCCUGAGCGGGCUGGCAAGGCGCAU